rnacentral:tRNA from 1 species
GGAGAAGUGGCUGAGCGGUCAAAAGCGACAGACUGUAAAUCUGUUGAUUAUUUAUCUACGUAGGUUCGAAUCCUACCUUCUUCA